rnacentral:rRNA from 1 species
GCUAGCGGCAGGCCUAACACAUGCAAGUCGAGGGGUAACAUUGGUGCUUGCACCAGAUGACGACCGGCGCACGGGUGCGUAACGCGUAUACAACCUACCUUUUAGCAGGGAAUAGCCCAGGGAAACUUGGAUUAAUGCCCUAUAGUAUGGUGAUCUCUCCUGAGAUUAUCAUUAAACAUUUAUGGCUAUUAGAUGGGUAUGCGUCCUAUUAGUUAGUUGGUAAGGUAACGGCUUACCAAGGCAGCGAUAGGUAGGGGUCCUGAGAGGGAGAUCCCCCACACUGGUACUGAGACACGGACCAGACUCCUACGGGAGGCAGCAGUGAGGAAUAUUGGACAAUGGGCGAGAGCCUGAUCCAGCCAUGCCGCGUGCAGGAAGACUGCCCUAUGGGUUGUAAACUGCUUUUACAGAGGAAGAACCACUCCCACGUGUGGGAGUUUGACGGUACUCUGCGAAUAAGGAUCGGCUAACUCCGUGCCAGCAGCCGCGGUAAUACGGAGGAUCCAAGCGUUAUCCGGAAUCAUUGGGUUUAAAGGGUCCGUAGGCGGGCAGUUAAGUCAGUGGUGAAAGUCUUCCGCUCAACGGGAGAACUGCCAUUGAUACUGAUUGCCUUGAGUUAUUAUGAAGUGGUUAGAAUGAGUAGUGUAGCGGUGAAAUGCAUAGAUAUUACUCAGAAUACCGAUUGCGAAGGCAGAUCACUAAUAAUAUACUGACNCUGAUGGACGAAAGCGUAGGUAGCGAACAGGAUUAGAUACCCUGGUAGUCUACNCCGUAAACGAUGGUUACUAGCUGUUCGGAUCGAUUAAGAUCUGAGUGGUUAAGCGAAAGUGAUAAGUAACCCACCUGGGGAGUACGUUCGCAAGAAUGAAACUCAAAGGAAUUGACGGGGGCCCGCACAAGCGGUGGAGCAUGUGGUUUAAUUCGAUNAUNCGCGAGGAACCUUACCAGGGCUUAAAUGUAGUCUGACNGGAGUGGAAACACUUUUUUCUUCGGACAGAUUACAAGGUGCUGCAUGGUUGUCGUCAGCUCGUGCCGUGAGGUGUCAGGUUAAGUCCUAUAACGAGCGCAACCCCUGUGGUUAGUUGCCAGCGAGUAAUGUCGGGAACUCUAGCCAGACUGCCGGUGCAAACCGUGAGGAAGGUGGGGAUGACGUCAAAUCAUCACGGCCCUUACGUCCUGGGCCACACACGUGCUACAAUGGUAGGGACAGAGAGCAGCCACUUCGCGAGAAGGAGCGAAUCUACAAACCCUAUCACAGUUCGGAUCGCAGUCUGCAACUCGACUGCGUGAAGCUGGAAUCGCUAGUAAUCGCAUAUCAGCCAUGAUGCGGUGAAUACGUUCCCGGGCCUUGUACACACCGCCCGUCAAGCCAUGGAAGCUGGGGGUACCUGAAGUCGGUCACCGCAAGGAGCCGCCUAGGGUAAAACUGGUAACUGGGGCUAAGUCGUAACAAGGUAGCCGUACCGGAAGG